rnacentral:sRNA from 1 species
CGCACGCGGGUCUUGCGGUCGACGGGGAGAAAUCCCGGCGCUCGCUCCGGUGUCCAGCAGUGGACGACGCCCGCGGAGGCUCAACCGGAAAAGGAGAAUG